UGGUGAGAUGAUGACAAUUAUCUUUCAGGACUGACCUGAAAUGAAGAGAAUACUCAUUGCUGAUCACUU
rnacentral:snoRNA from 13 species